rnacentral:tRNA from 1 species
CUUAGCUCAGUCGGUUAGAGCAUCUGACUGUUAAUCAGAGGGUCCAAGGUUCAAGUCCUUG